UACAGAGGGUGCGAGCGUUAAUCGGAGUUACUGGGCGUAAAGGGCGCGUAGGCGGUUUAUCAAGUGUGAUGUGAAAGCCCCGGGCUUAACCUGGGAAGCGCAUCGCAAACUGAGGAACUGGAGUACAAGAGAGGGUGGCGGAAUUUCCGGUGUAGCGGUGAAAUGCGUAGAGAUCGGAAGGAACGUCAAUGGCGAAGGCAGCCACCUGGCUUGAUACUGACGCUGAGGCGCGAAAGCGUGGGUAGCGAACAGG
rnacentral:rRNA from 1 species